GCAGACACAUUCCAGCCAAUCAGCAGCAGACCCUCCCUCCCAGACCCUCCCACCUCCUGGACAGCAUCCAUUUUACAUUCAUUGUGAAGCUGCAUUCUUAGUGAGCUGUCCAGGAGCUGGGAGGGUCUGGGAGGGAGGGUCUGCUGCUGAUUGGCUGGAAUGUGUCUG
rnacentral:miRNA from 1 species